GUGACCGGUGACUCUCUCUUCUUUAGUUCAAAAAAAAAAGAAACCCUAAUGAUCUAAUCUCUCCCAACUCUCUCAAGUUACAGCCGACAUCAUCCAUUCAUCCAGAUCCACUGAUCCAACGCCGGUCAUCCACAGUCGGUCAUCCACCGCCUGUCAUCCACCAGCGCCGGUCAUCCACAGCCAGUCAUCCACCGCCGGUCAUCUACGCACAGCCGCUCCUUGAGUCUUUUUUCAAAAAUAAAGAAUGAGUGAUUCUCAAAAGAAGGUGGGAAAGAAGAAGGAUAAGAAGUCCUAUGUAUGUUUAUCUAACUUUUAUGGCUUUCGGUUCAAGUUUGGUGGAGUCAGAUUCUAUUAAAGUC
rnacentral:lncRNA from 1 species